GAUUACGGCUCAGUAACACGUAGGUAACCUACCCUCAGGACUGAGAUAACCCCGGGAAACUGGGGCUAAUAUUAGAUAGAUAAAAGGUACUGGAAUGUUCUUUUAUCCAAAGCUUUUGCGCCUGAGGAUGGGCCUGCGUCCGAUUAGGUUGUUGGUGGGGUAAUGGCCCACCAAGCCUACGAUCGGUACGGGCAGUGAGAGCUGAAGCCCGGAGUUGGGGACUGAGACAAGGCCCCAGGCCCUACGGGGCGCAGCAGGCGCGAAACCUCUGCAAUGCGGGAAACCGUGACAGGGGGAUCCCAAGUGCUCAUGCAUUGCAUGGGCUGUUCUUUGGUCUAAGUAACCAGAGGAGUAAGGGCUGGGCAAGACCGGUGCCAGCAGCCGCGGUAAUAAU
rnacentral:rRNA from 1 species